AUUGAACGCUGGCGGCAGGCCUAACACAUGCAAGUCGAACGAGUGGCGGACGGGUGAGUAAUGUCUGGGCAGCUGCCUGAUGGAGGGGUAUAACUACUGGACACGGUAGCUAAUACCGCAUACCAUCUGAUGUGCCCAGAUGGGAUUAGCUACUAGGUGGGGUAAAGGCUCACCUAGGCGACGAUCCCUAGCUGGUCUGAGAGGAUGACCAGCCACACUGGGACUGAGACACGGUCCAGACGCCGACGGGAGGCAGCAGUGGGGAAUAUUGCACAAUGGGCGCAAGCUUGAUGCAGCCAUGCCGCGUGUAUGAAGAAGGCCUUCGGGUUGUAAAGUACUUUCAGCGGGGAGGAGUUACCCGUAGAAGAAGCACCGGCUAACUCCGUGCCAGCAGCCGCGGUAAUAC
rnacentral:rRNA from 1 species